GGCUAGAGGAGAUGGCGGGGACGUGAGGGCCCCAUCCUGGAUGGGGCGUACUAGGAGGAGACAGCGGGGCACAGGGUUCCCCGGUGGGGCAGAGGGUGGAUCAGGACGGGCUGGGGCCUGGAGGGCACAGGAGCGCCGGGCUGGGAUCAGGUAGUCUGGGUUGGAGGACAUGGAGCCAUGACCAGGGGGAACAGGGGUGCUGGCUGAAGGAGGAGGCUGAGGUGGGGGCAUCUCCCAGGAGCCUUGACCUCACUCUAGGUUCUGGGCUCCCAGGGUGGAUGGUGAAACACUGGCCAGCUGAUACCCACUGCCUGGGACACUCCUGAUGGAGCCCCAGUCCCUGACAUUGACCUAGGAUGUUGCCGCUCCGGCCCAGCCAGCCUUCCAGCUGUGCCCUCUGAUUCUGAAGCCACUGCUCCCACCUUAGGGCUUCAAAUGCUGGGUCUACAGUGGGAACCAUCAUGGAACCUUGGGAGACAGCCAGAGGAUGUCACAUGAAGAGAAGCACAGCGGGGAGAGGAGAGGAGGUUGGGGAUGUCACCUCGCCUGCCUCUACAUUCUCUCCUCCACGCCUCUGCCCAAGCUGUUCUCCCUGCCUGAAGCACCUUUCACAUCCCUCUCUGCAAGCUCCAGGCCACCUGGGAUUCCAGCCUCCUCCAGGAAGCCUUCUCGGAUGCCCUCCUCCCCAGCCAGUGAGCAACUUAACCUCUUCUGGGCCCCCACCAGACCCCUCUACUGUGAACAGCCUUGGCUAGGGGUGCGGCCAGACACUCAUGAAAUCUCAGAUGACUAGAGGAGACUGGGGAACCCCAACCGUCUCUCAGUGCUUGAGGGUCACACUGGGCCCCUCCCCCAACCUAAUCACCCGUUGUACCCGUGCUGCCCCUGCCCUACCCCCUGCGACAAUGACUGUCAGGUUAAAUCCCAGAGCUGUGGCCCCUGCACGGGGUCUUCUGGCUGUGUCUGAAGGGCUCUGGAUGAGUGGGUGGGGAUUGGAGGGGGUGGUCUGUGCCUGGCAGAGAGCUGAGACAUUGAUGCUAAUCGUGGGAUUAUUCCAGGCAGUGUGUUGUAGAAAUUCUGGGUACAAGACCCUCCAGAUGGAACGCUGGGCCUCAGCUGGAUUUUUGAUCUGUGGCCACGAGGCGUUGGAUCCUCUAAGCAGACCCCAGGGGUGGGGGCACUGGGCCUGCCAGUGCCCUCCAGGUGUUGGUGUCACAGGGCAGAGCCUGGGGAGCCUGGGAAGAAAUAAUGUUUUAAUUAAGAGUCGUGUUGGCCGCAGGGCCCGGAGCGGGGACAGGUGGAUAAUAAAUCGUGGCUGCGGGGAGACCCGGGCCCAGACCGUGUGUUUACCUAUCAUGGGGUGGGGAGGGCACCAGCCUGCCAGACUCUGCUCACCUCCCCUCAGCAGAGCCUCUCUGGGCUGGCAUCUGUCCUCCUGGGGCCAAGUAGCCUAGACCCCUGCUCCUGCCUGGUUUUGGCCUCGGGGGUCCCUGGACCACAUGCAAAUAACUAAUCUACAGGCCCUGGGACUCCCCUGUUUGCACAAUCCCCUGCAAACCCUGGGGACCUGCCUCCUAGGGCCCAACAGGAGAGUUGGGUUUGUAAUAGUCACCACAGCUCCAUUCCUGGGCUCCCACUACACUGCCAGGGCCUGGGCAACAUCCUUGCCUGGCCUUGAGUUGCACUGGUCUGCCAACUGAGAGGCUUGGUGAUGGUGGUGAUGAUUGCUGCCCAUUUUACAGAUGGGGUGUCCAAGGUCAUCCCCCCCUCUUUUGGGCUACUUCCUCUGCAGCCCCCUAAUUGAGGGGUCCCAGUCCAUUCAGCAGAGGUCUAUGAUGGAGGAAAAGAGAGGAUUUCUUGCUUCUUGGCUGAGGUGGGGGUGGGAGAAAGCAUUUUCAGGCCGUUUUGACAUUUAACAAACACUAUGCAAAUCGCAUGCAAAUCACAUGCAAAUCAUCACCCAUUUCUUAAACCUCGACAGCUCCAGCGUGUUCUGAAAUAAUAAUGUUGGACCUGUCCCUUGGCGUUGGCCUCGAGGAGGGGUACAAAGCCUUCCUUUCCUUCCCUCCUUUCUUCCUUCCCCUUCCCUUCCCUCUGUUUCCUUUCUUCCUUCCUUUCCUUCCAUCCCUACCUUCCUUUUUUUCUGUUAUCUCUUUACUCCCUUUACAUUAUUUGUUGAAGGCCUCCCAGUUCUGAGAUGAAUACAAAUAGCAAAAGUGGCUUCUGUAGUUCCCGCUUUCCAAAUGGGGAAACAGACACAGAGAAGCACAAGCCUGGCCUGAGAUUCCACAACCACAUUGUGGAAAGCGUCCCCCACCAAGUGCUGUUGUGGACCAACACUGGAUGGUAACUGUGACCUUAGGUGGAGAGACAACAGUGGCUGGAGCAAGCUUAACAGGGCUCGGAGGAACCAAGGAAAAUUGUCCUUGGGUUUCUUGGCCUUGAAGGGCAGGCUGCCAGGCUUGGAUCUGGAGAAAUCUGACCUUGACGGGUCUUACUCCUCAAGUCUUUCUUUCUCCAGCUACUCCAUCAGCAAACUCUGAAUUUGGCCCACAACCUCUCUGCUUAGUUUGCAUGCCCUACUUUUUCUGUUCGCAAACUCCUAUUCAUCCUUUGAAGCCCUAGCUCCAAGGCCCCCUUCUUUAUGCAGCCAUCUCUGAUCCUCCAAGAAGAGCUGCCACUUCUCUUUGGGCUUCUGUUGCUCCAGAUCUCUCUCUCUCUCUCUGAUCCAGGGCUGACCCUUUUGGUCCAGGGCUGCCCACUCUGGCUUGAUUCCAGCACUUGUCUGAUUAUUAUACACCUUGAAACUUGUAUUCUAAACCUAGAUCUUUUCUGAUCUUUUUCACCUGGCCUACUCCUACAUUUUCAAGGUCUGGCACUAAUGCCCACCUCUGUGUAAACUGUACAGCUCUCUCCUAGUUGGCUUCUGGGUCUACAGCCUCCAGCUCUCCUGGCUUGUUUCUGACCCAUGGAACGGGGAGGUGUGUGUGUCCUUCAAGUCUUAGGACUUGCCUCUGCAGCCCCAGGAUCAUCCAGGUUGGGACUGGGUACAGAGGGACUGAGUUGGAGUGUCUAUGAAUAAAUGAUUAAGUGUCUGGAAACAAAGCCAAGUUCACUCCCUAACUUGGCCUUGGGCUUCACUCUCCAUGACAGUUCAGCCCUAAGUGUGCCCUUCGCCCUUCCCUCUCCCUCACCUCCAGGCUUCUGUACCUCUGCCAGGAAUGGUUUUCCCUUGACUCCUAUUUUGGGGGACCCCAAGCCAGCCCUUUCCCAUUUCUGGCCUGUGAAAAGGGGAGAAGCCCGCCCCCCUCAUGGCCUCUCACGAUCCUGACUCCACCCCAGGAGCAAGUCUGGGCUGCAAGGAGUUUCGGGUGAGACUUGGCAGCCACCCUCUCUCGCUGAGGCCUGCAGCGUCUGGGGAGGGGCCACCUCCCGCCUUGGCUGCCCACUGACUUUGUGCUCCCAGAAGUUCCAUGGGAGUUGUCCUGGGGGGAAAUAAAUCCAGGCGGGUCCCAGAGGAGGCAUCUAGGGCUCAGCCAGAAACUAUAGGCACCUGGACUUCCUGCUUUAGUUCUGCUCUGCACUCCCCCGACCCCCAUCCCCAGGACUCCAGGCUGGAUUCUGGUGUUUGCUAACUCUGUCCAUUAGCCCAACAGGCAUUUAUUGAGUGCCCUCUGUGUACCCAGUUCUGGCUGCCAGAUAUACUAAGACAGAUCCUGCGUUUGGCUGCCAUAGAUGGUGGAGCCAGUUGUUCACUGCACAAAAGCAUCCAGCUGAGGAAUUCCUGUCGUGGUGCAGUGGAAAUGAAUCUGACUAGGAACCAUGAGGUUGCGGAUUUGAUCCCUAGCCUCGCUAAGUGGGUUAAGGAUCCGGUGUUGCCGUGAGCUGUGGUGUAAGUUGCAGACAUGGCUCGGAUACUGUGUUGCUGUGGCUGUGGUGUAGGCCGGCGGCUACAGCUCCAAUUCAACCCCUAGCCUGAGAACCCCCAUAUGCUGCAGGUGUGGCCCUAAAAGGACAAAAGACAAAAAAAAAAAAAAAAAAAAAAAAAAAA
rnacentral:lncRNA from 1 species